GUGCUUGCUUCGGCAGCACAUAGACUAAAAUUGGAACGAUACAGAGAAGAUUAGCAUGGCCCCUGCACAAGGAUGACACACAAAUUCGUGAAGCGUUCCAUAUUUUU
rnacentral:snRNA from 1 species